GUUUUGUUAGUUUGGAUAGUUCAAAUAAUUUUUAGGGUGUUUCAUGUUAAUUCAGUUUGGUACCAACAACGUAUAUAUUUGAGUUUGGUCUGAGUCAUGGGGUGAGCCAGGAGCGUUUGUGUGGCAUUAGGAUGUUCUCCCUGUGUUUGUGUGGGUUAUCUCCAGCUUCCUCCCACAGAGUGAGAAGCAUUGUCUAUCUCAGUGCCUUGGCUGUUAACUGAGACAGGUUGAUCUGAUUUAAUAUGGACAAGCUGAAUAAAGGAAAAACGUCUUUGACUAGUCCAGUUAGAAAUGGGGCUAAGAGACAUGUAGAUGUUUUGGAUGAGUAAAUUAUUAAAUUAAUCUAGUGCAUAUUCAUCAGCUCUAGAUUUCUACAUUCACUGGUUAAAUCUCUUAUUUAGAUUGUUUUCCCCCAUAGAUCAUAUGAAUAUGUACAUAGAUUUAUGUGCUGGAGUGUAACACCUAGACUAAAAGUAAUACUGCUAGAGGGGUAAAAUAUGGGAUUUUAUCAUGACUUUCACAUACAUGAUAGCAUAAUUUUAGAUAUGGAGAUAUUUUAAGAGUGACCUGGUAAACCUUGACAAAUUUGAUUAAUUUCAUGUGAAAUUACCUCAUUAUAAAUUCAAGUGUAAUAAAAAAUAUGGUCAGACGGCACAGGCCUAUAAGAAUUUUGUUUUCUUUAAUGAUUAGUUUCAAACGUAAUCCAAGAUAAGAUCAAGGGAUGAUUGAAACAGUGAGUGGAAUUUACAUGAUGAGUAAAACCAAGCAGUGAAUCACACGCAGUCAAUGUAAAAUUUUGUUAUUGGCUUUCUUUGACUUAAAGCUAAGAUUCCAAGGAAUGUAAGCCACGGUACCAAAGUAUGCUAGCUAGUAGCUGUAGUGAGUUAUGACUGACAAAUGCUAAGGUAAUCCCUAGCUAAACACUUUGUAUACACAUUUGUGUUAUGCUACAAAAAUUCCAUAUUACUGGACAAACCAACCCCAUUAUCUGUUAUUCAUACGUCCUGGGGGGUAAGCCAAUCGGUUUGCCAUUUGGUAGCUGUCCGUAGGACCCCUUCUAAGGGUUUUUAUUGGUCAGACAAAUAGUCAAGAUUUAUGGCCACUGUGAGGCCACGUUUUAGGAAUUCUAGGCAGAAAUUAUGGCCACACAUACACCUACCUCGCUAUGGUGGCCAUACAGUGACAGAUCUGGACAAUGCGUACAUAGAGGGGCGUUAUUAAAAUGAAAUGGGUGGCUAAUCAGUUCAGGUUUUCCACACAACUGCUCCAGUUAUCUACAGUGCGAAGCCCACAUUGUUUGCAGGACACCAUCUAGACAACCAGUGGUGAAGUCAUGACAGGCAACAUGUCAUCACUAGUCAUAUUGGGGAGGGGUCCAGACAAAACUACAAAAUCUGAGAUAUUUUUUGCAAACAUACACACUAACUCAAUAUCAUUUUAGUGACUGUGGGCGACUGCCUAAAACUGCGAGAACUUUGCUGACCCUCUGAAGGACAACUGCAGUAGCAACUACACUAGGUAGAUUGGAGCUGGGAUUCCAAUUCACUUAUAGUGCGGUGCAGUACACUUCGUACAUGGUGGUGGUACUGUAAUUAGAUAAAUAAUAACUGUAGGUGAAAACAAAGCAGUAAAUAGUAGCAUUAAAGGGGACUGCUCAUACAAAAUCCACUUUUUAGACAUUCUGGAGCAUUCCUAUGACUCUAUGGAUCACGUUUAAAGUUUUUCAACUUUAUCCAAUGGAGACAGACCUCCUCCCGUUCUGUCCCUGUUGUGAUGUCACAGAAAGGGACAAAUGCUGAAUCACCACCCCCACGAUGAAACCGUACCAAAACUGGACUUCCGACAUUUUCCCUGUCGCACUCACCGUGAACAGAUAUACAUGGCAGCGCCCAAGGCUGGCGCUGCCAUGGCAGGGAGCGGUGGAUCGAGCUUUAGUCCUGUUGAAAUGUGCUGCCACUCCUAUUUGUAUGUUGCGUUAGCCGUUAGCAUGCUGUUAGCCCUUUGCACUUUAGAGCUACAGCUGGGCGAUCGCUACAAUAAGAAAUUGCAGAUGAACGCGGUUAUGUCUGUUAUUACCCCAUCCCAUGUCACAGCCUAAAUCAACUUGAGGGUUGUUGCGGGGUUGGUCAUUGUUCUAUCAAAUUAUAACAUGUAUGGUAACUGUGUUGUGGUCCAAGCUUAGCUGCUAAUUAGUCACGUCUCCUCAAUAAUUACAGCCUAUCUGGUCAGUUACCUAUAGUUUGUGUACCAUAGCCAUUAUACUUGUAGGACCAAUACAAUAAUACAAUUUACAGUAAAUGUAACAUUGGCUUUAUUCUAUACUGUAGGAGGGCUCAUCCCAGUUACCCACAUGCAAGAAGGUUGUCCAAAGGAGAAAUCACUGCAGACUGUUGGUACACAGACAUGUGCUGCCCAGCUCAGGAGUGAAGUAUCUUUUUGAUGAGGUGAUGGUGAGGAAAGGGACAGCUUCCAUCUGGUUGAGGACUGGUUCCGCUCAAAAAUCUUCCAAAUAGUGAUUAGAACAAGGAUCACCACAUCGCCCUGGUCAUCUGAUUACAACUAUACAGUACCUGUCCUGCUGCAGAAACAAAUCUCCAACAGAACCAAGUUUAUCACCUACCCAGGACAUGGUCUGUUUACCGUACUUCUAUCCAGCAAGCACUUCCAUAGCAAGGCCCUUCAAAAGCUUCUAUCCUCAAAACCCCAGACUUCUUAACUCACUCAGCAACCUAUAUUUGUGUAAAGAUCACAGUUUGUUCCAGCUUUGGAGUAGUGGUGCUUUUUCUGGUUGACAAUAAAGUUGACUGUAACUAUUA